rnacentral:rRNA from 1 species
GACGAACCGUGCGAACGUUAUUCGGAAUCACUGGGCUUAAGGCGCGUGUAGGCGGGCCGCCGCGUCGGCUGCUGAAAUCCCCCGGCUCAACCGGGGAACGGGCACCGAUACGGGCGGCCUCGAGGGGGGUAGGGGGGUCUGGAACUUCCGGUGGAGCGGUGAAAUGCGUUGAGAUCGGAAGGAACGCCCGUGGCGAAAGCGAGGCCCUGGACCCUUACUGACGCUGAGACGCGAAAGCCAGGGGAGCGAACGGG